rnacentral:misc_RNA from 1 species
AUAGGAAUCCAAAUGUAUGCUGUGUACAAAGCCAGGGCAAACAAACCCCACUGUAUAAAGCCUUUUCACCUAGUACUAGAGUCAACUAAUUUAUCACUAUAAUCCAGGAAGCCCAGCUGUUAGAGAACUUGAUCAGCUCACAGGACACUGGCACAGAGUUUACUCCCAAGGAGGAAACGAAAUAUGGCGCCUUUGUGAUCCCAAGCAAGCAGAUCUAACUAAAAACAGCUUACAACAUAUAAUUUAUGGCGGAAAACCAUAUUUACAAAGAAUGGCCCAAAUGCCAUUGACAUGUGCUCACUAGAUAAUACACUUUCAACUGAUAAAACCCCACUCGUAAAUCCUUGUAUCUUACGAGUGAAGUAGCAUCAAAGCAUUCGACCAAUUGCCCAAGUACUUGGACCGAUAACCCAAGCAAUACUGGAGUAUAGAAACCUGUUGGAGUCCGCUAAAAAAGAUGUUCUUUGAAGUGAUACUAGAACCCACAAUGUGAAUUUACUUUUAAAGCGAUGGUCUAAACCUUGUUCAACAUCCUGGUUCAUCAAGGCCAUGUAUCAUCAUAAAGAUGACAACAGAACACGAUGGAACCGUUCUACUCUGGCCUGGUAAAGACAUGACAAUCUGCCAGCUGAAACUUUUCUUCUUUUACCACCCUGGCGGAAAAAGAAGUCCUCUGUGUCAAGCACAUAUGAUAUCUUCGAUGAAUUUGAAGCCAUCUUGCAUUCCAGACCAUUUACAAGAAUAACAUGUUCCAUUGCCAUGCACAAAGCAGUUGAUUCAUCAUCGUCAGCACGUUUCCGCUUAUUUCUCUUCAGCAGAACUGCAGAAGACUCCUUUUUCCCAUGUUUAACUGACAGAUAAUCAUUGUGCAGAUAA